CGUGCCCAUGGAGAGACUGGGACCCAGGCAAGUGCACAAGACUCCACAUUCCUCCCUCGGAAUUAUCACAAGUCUUUCCCUGGUCAUUACAGUUAAAAGCCGAAGCCUUGAAGUCCAGCUGCUCUGACAUGAGCAUUACAAUGAGUAUCCUGGGGUUCCAGUGGCUGAAUCAGACUCACACCCCCAGAAGGUCGGCCUGGCUGAGGCAGAGAAGAGAAGGUCCUGUUCCAUACAGAAAGAUGAAGGACAGAUGCACUAGGAGGGGUUGAUGGAGAGACAUCUCUCUGUGCCCCACGGAUGUCUGCUAACAGCCUGGACCUUUGUUCCCUCCUUUCAGAGAUCUUUGGUAUGGCCCAUGGGUUGCACCACCCCUGCCCCACCCAUGCGCCCUCAUCAGCGGCUCCUUCCAGAAUUGCUCCAUCUCCCCUGUGGACUCCUGCCUUUGGGGUCAUGCACCCUGGUCUCUCGUGGCCGUGUCUACUGACCGAUGCUCUUUAGACCCUGGAUGGAGGGCCUCAGUUGGCUGUGAAGCCAGCCACUCCACACGAUGUAGCUCUCAGCUCCUCACCGGCCAAACAGCACUCUGAUUUCCCGUGUGGACCUGGGUAUCUCCUGAGAGGACAUCAGUCCCCUCGCCCGCAUGCGGCUGCCCUGUCAGGCAGUAACAGUGACGCACUCUUGCUGGGUGGUGUAGAAUCAUAAAGCAGAACCCAAGGGGCUUCUCCCAUGUGAGACUCUGACUCAGCCAAUCGCCUUACAAACGUGGCUGAGCCCCACCCCCAGCAGCACAGGGGACUGACAAGGUCUCCCUCUGCUCAGCUGGGAGGAGGGCACAAAGGGAAGGUGACUUUACUCUGGAAAGUCUGACCUGGCUCUUGGGGGCCAACACUCCCCAGCAGUGAUCUCUCAUUGCCCAUGCUGGGUCACCCCCUG
rnacentral:lncRNA from 1 species